rnacentral:rRNA from 1 species
GAUUAAAGAUUUAUCGGUGAUGGAUGGGGAUGCGUCUGAUUAGCUUGUUGGCGGGGUAACGGCCCACCAAGGCGACGAUCAGUAGGGGUUCUGAGAGGAAGGUCCCCCACAUUGGAACUGAGACACGGUCCAAACUCCUACGGGAGGCAGCAGUGAGGAAUAUUGGUCAAUGGACGAGAGUCUGAACCAGCCAAGUAGCGUGCAGGAUGACGGCCCUAUGGGUUGUAAACUGCUUUUAUAAGGGAAUAAAGUGAGUCUCGUGAGACUUUUUGCAUGUACCUUAUGAAUAAGGACCGGCUAAUUCCGUGCCAGCAGCCGCGGUAAUACGGAAGGUCCGGGCGUUAUCCGGAUUUAUUGGGUUUAAAGGGAGCGUAGGCCGGAGAUUAAGCGUGUUGUGAAAUGUAGACGCUCAACGUCUGCACUGCAGCGCGAACUGGUUUCCUUGAGUACGCACAAAGUGGGCGGAAUUCGUGGUGUAGCGGUGAAAUGCUUAGAUAUCACGAAGAACUCCGAUUGCGAAGGCAGCUCACUGGAGCGCAACUGACGCUGAAGCUCGAAAGUGCGGGUAUCGAACAGGAUUAGAUACCCUGGUAGUCCGCACGGUAAACGAUGGAUGCCCGCUGUUGGUCUGAAUAGGUCAGCGGCCAAGCGAAAGCAUUAAGCAUCCCACCUGGGGAGUACGCCGGCAACGGUGAAACUCAAAGGAAUUGACGGGGGCCCGCACAAGCGGAGGAACAUGUGGUUUAAUUCGAUGAUACGCGAGGAACCUUACCCGGGCUUGAAUUGCAGAGGAAGGAUUUGGAGACAAUGACGCCCUUCGGGGUCUCUGUGAAGGUGCUGCAUGGUUGUCGUCAGCUCGUGCCGUGAGGUGUCGGCUUAAGUGCCAUAACGAGCGCAACCCCUCUCCUUAGUUGCCAUCAGGUCACGCUGGGCACUCUGGGGACACUGCCACCGUAAGGUGUGAGGAAGGUGGGGAUGACGUCAAAUCAGCACGGCCCUUACGUCCGGGGCUACACACGUGUUACAAUGGCAGGUACAGAGAGAUGGUGUUCUGCAAAGCGCAUCUAAUCCUUAAAGCCUGUCUCAGUUCGGACUGGGGUCUGCAACCCGACCCCACGAAGCUGGAUUCGCUAGUAAUCGCGCAUCAGCCAUGGCGCGGUGAAUACGUUCCCGGGCCUUGUACACACCGCCCGUCAAGCCAUGAAAGCCGGGGGCGCCUAAAGUCCGUGACCGU